rnacentral:snRNA from 1 species
AGACUCCUGUGACAUUUUGGAGA